UACAGAGGUCUCAAGCGUUGUUCGGAUUCAUUGGGCGUAAAGGGUGCGUAGGCGGCGCGGUAAGUCGGGUGUGAAAUCUCCAGGCUUAACUUGGAAACUGCCAUUGAUACUAUCAAUCUUGAAUACCGUGGAGGUCAGCGGAAUAUGUCAUGUAGCGGUGAAAUGCUUAGAUAUGACAUAGAACACCAAUUGCGAAGGCAGCUGGCUACACGAAUAUUGACACUGAUGCACGAAAGCGUGGGGAUCAAACAGG
rnacentral:rRNA from 1 species